rnacentral:rRNA from 1 species
GAUGAACGCUGGCGGCGUGCCUAAUACAUGCAAGUCGAGCGAACAGACGAGGAGCUUGCUCCUCUGACGUUAGCGGCGGACGGGUGAGUAACACGUGGAUAACCUACCUAUAAGACUGGGAUAACUUCGGGAAACCGGAGCUAAUACCGGAUAAUAUAUUGAACCGCAUGGUUCAAUAGUGAAAGACGGUUUUGCUGUCACUUAUAGAUGGAUCCGCGCCGCAUUAGCUAGUUGGUAAGGUAACGGCUUACCAAGGCAACGAUGCGUAGCCGACCUGAGAGGGUGAUCGGCCACACUGGAACUGAGACACGGUCCAGACUCCUACGGGAGGCAGCAGUCGGGAAUCUUCCGCAAUGGGCGAAAGCCUGACGGAGCAACGCCGCGUGAGUGAUGAAGGUCUUCGGAUCGUAAAACUCUGUUAUUAGGGAAGAACAAAUGUGUAAGUAACUAUGCACGUCUUGACGGUACCUAAUCAGAAAGCCACGGCUAACUACGU